GACGAGGGAUCCUAGCGUUGCUCGGAAUCAUUGGGCGUAAAGCGGGUGUAGGUGGCUUUAUAAGUCAGGUGUGAAAGCCCAGGGCUCAACCCUGGAAGUGCACUUGAUACUGUUCAGCUUGAGUGUGGGAGAGGUUACUGGAAUACCUGGUGUAGUGGUGAAAUACGUAGAUAUCAGGUGGAACACCGGAGGCGAAGGCGGGUAACUGGCCCAACACUGACACUCAGACCCGAAAGCGUGGGGAUCAAACAGG
rnacentral:rRNA from 1 species